UUCUGGCUCAGGAUAGAACGCUAGCGACAGGCUUAACACAUGCAAGUCGAGGGCAGCAUAAAAGUAGCAAUACUUGGUGGCGACCGGCGCACGGGUGAGUAACGCGUAUGCAACCUACCUAUCAGAGGGGAAUAACCCGGCGAAAGUCGGACUAAUACCGCAGUAAAACAGGGGCACCGCAUGGUGAUAUUUGUUAAAGAAAUUCGCUGAUAGAUGGGCAUGCGUUCCAUUAGGUAGUUGGUGAGGUAACGGCUCACCAAGCCGACGAUGGAUAGGGGAACUGAGAGGUUGGUCCCCCACACUGGUACUGAGACACGGACCAGACUCCUACGGGAGGCAGCAGUGAGGAAUAUUGGUCAAUGGGCGGGAGCCUGAACCAGCCAAGUCGCGUGAAGGAAAGAAGGAUCUAUGGUUCGUAAACUUCUUUUGCAGGGGAAUAAAGUGCAGGACGUGUCCUGUUUUGUAUGUACCCUGAGAAUAAGGAUCGGCUAACUCCGUGCCAGCAGCUGC
rnacentral:rRNA from 1 species